rnacentral:rRNA from 1 species
UCCAGUAGAGGGACAACUCGAGAACUCGAGCUAUACGCAUACGCCUAAGGGAAGCGGGGAUCUUCGGACCUCGCGCCUAUUGGAUGAGCCUGCGUCGGAUUAGCUAGUUGGUGGGGUAAAGGCCCACCAAGGCGACGAUCCGUAGCUGGUCUGAGAGGAUGAUCAGCCACACUGGGACUGAGACACGGCCCAGACUCCUACGGGAGGCAGCAGUGGGGAAUAUUGCGCAAUGGGGGAAACCCUGANNCAGCCAUGCCGCGUGUGUGAAGAAGGCCUUAGGGUUGUAAAGCACUUUCAAUGGGGAGAAAAGUCUUACGGUUAAUAACUGUGAG